rnacentral:lncRNA from 1 species
GGUUGGUUCUUCUUUGAACUCAAGUAUGAAAGGUGAUUUACUUAGAUUGUAAUGAUGCUAUACCUAAUGUGUUAUUGUGGUAUUGAUGACCUAGUUUCCUCAUCCUUAACCCUCUACACUUGAAUUAGCUAUGAAGUAUGUAUGUAUAUUAUGGUAUGAUUGCUAUAUGAUUGUUAUAUGAUUGAAAGGUAGUUCUCAUGAUUGUAGUGUAAUGUAAAGUGAAAGGUUUACUCAUUUGCUAAGUGUUUCUAAAGUGAAAGGAUUGUACUCACUUAUGAACACAUAUGAGCUAUUAUGAUAAGAUGUCUACAUAAGAGUCUAGUAAAGGCUAAUGUGAACUUAUAUGAUGACUAAAGAUGAUUACAAAAGGGAAUCAGAUGCUUUGAACUGUAAGGGCAUGUAAAUGAGAUGGGGGUCUCAUGUUUAGUACAUUCGGCUCCCCACAUGGGUUUCCUCACGUUUAGCAAGUGCGGAUUACCUACGGUAUGUGUUGUCUCAUGAGAUGGAAAUCCCCACGUUUAGUAAGUUAGGGUUUUUAGAAGCAAUCUCCUUGACCCUUAACUAUGUGCCCACAUAGGACUCUAGCUUAGUGGAUCCACCUAGAUAGCUAUGUACGAAUGGUUACACCGUAGGAAAGUGUUAACCCUCUCUUUUCGGUAUGGAUGUAGAACACCGGAUUCUAUAUAGCUCUCAUGGUCUAUGUCGGUUAAUGCAAUAUUUCCCUAAUGUAAAAGUAAAUGAAGGUAUGAAAGAUGUGAACUCUUAGUAGGGCUUUCUUAAGGGUUUCUACAUAGUUUAAGAGAGGGUAUGGGACUUCUGUUGCAGAUUGCACUUGUGGGAUCCUAAGAGAUGGUUGUAGUAGUGUUCUCUUAUGGUUUUGAUGAUUAUGACUUAUGUAUGUUGAAGCUAUGUUAUGUAUGAUCAUUAUGGAUAUGGUAACUUAUGAUGAAAUAUGAUCUUAUGAAUGUAUGCAUGAAGUAGGUUGCUUAAUGUGGUACUUGGCUUUUAAUAGGGUUAUGGGUUUCUAUUCUUUGCAUUGCACUAGUAUUGCCUGGGCUGUCUACAUGUUGGGAUGAUAUUAUGUUGGUUUGGACUAUGAUACUUAAUUUGUGUUCAUAUUGGAUUUACUUGGCAAAAAGCAUGUUUUGAAUAAAAUGUCCUUUUAUGCAUGUUUCAAUGGUUUUUAUGCAUAGUAGCCAUACUUAGUACGUGUGUUGUACUAACCCAUAUUUCUCCUUUUCCAACAUUUGGUUCGGGCCAUUGAGGAUUCAAGCUUACUUUUCAAGACACUUGGAGUUGCUUCCCCAAGUUGGUGAGUCCUCAAGUCCAAGGAUAAGACCCUAUGAUCUAACUUCUAUGUUUAGUUCAUUGCUUAUGUUGAAAGACAUUGUUGUACUUUCCUAUUUCAAGACUUCUUAUUGAUGUAAGGGCUAAGUCCCAUUUUCGAUACUUCUAUGUCUAGAUGGUGCAUUGUGAUGAAGUUAGAUUCUAUUUUUCAUAUAAGAAGUGAAGUUGAACUUCCAAAGUAAAAGUUUUAAAUUUUCCGCAANNNNNNNNNNNNNNNNNNNNNNNNNNNNNNNNNNNNNNNNNUCCUCAAAACCCUCAAGUUCCUAUUGAAGAAGGGGCUAUGUCUAAUGUUGAGAUAAGGUCGGCUAUUCAUAAUUUGACUCAAGUGUUGGCCACUCAAGUUGCUAGGGAUGCUAGGGUGCAAGUGAAUCCCAAUGCUAGCACUACCGCUUUUAGGAUAAGGGAUUUCACAAGGAUGAAUCCCCCUACUUUCUUUGGCUCCAAAGUGGAAGAGGAUCCACAAGGGUUCAUUGAUGAAGUGUUUAAGGUUCUAGAGGCUAUGGGUGUGUCUUCUCAAGAAAAGGCGGAGUUUAGCCUCCUAUCAACUCAAAGAUGUGGCACAAGUGUGGUAUGAACAAUGGUAGGAUGGGAGACUUAUUAGAGAGGGUCCGAUAAGUUGGGCUACAUUCAAGAUGGCUUUUAUUGAUAGGUUUUUCCCCUUGGGACUAAGGGAGAGGAAAAUGCAAGAAUUCAUCAAUCUCUGUCAAGAGGGCAUGAGUGUGAAGGAGUAUGGCCUCAAGUUCACUCAAUUGUCCAAGCAUGCUCCUACUUUGGUGUCAGACUCUAGAGCUACAAUGAACAAAUUUGUUAUGGGUGUAUCCGAUCUUGUGGUGAAUGAAUGUAGGUCGGCUAUGCUAAUCCCAAGCAUGGACAUUUCUCGCCUUAUGGUUCAUGCCGAGCAAAUUGAGGAGCAAAAGCUUAAGCGAGUUGGUAGAGAAUUGAAGAGGUCAAGGGUCGAUGAUGGAAAUUACUUCUAAGGUUAGGUUUGAAAUCCAAGAUAAGUCAAAGUUCAAAAAGAGGUUUUCUAACCAAGGUCUUCCUAACACUCCAAGGGUCAACAAAGGUAAAGUUUCUACCCCCAAGCCUCAAGAAGCAAGAGGUGGUGGUCCUUAUGUUGAGAAGCCUAUUUGUGCAAAGUGUGGUUGAAAACAUGAAGGCAAGUGCCUAGUUGGCACGGGUAAUUGCUAUGGUUGUGGUAAGAGCGGCCAUAUGAGGAGGGACUGCCCUAUGCUAAAGGCUCAAGGAAGGGAAAAUGCUCAAGCACAAGCAAGUGGCCCAAAUCCCGAUGCUCCAAAGAAGAAUCGCUUCUAUGCUCUCCAAUCCCGAGGUGAUCAAGAGAGCUCUCCGGAUGUUGUGAUCGGUAUGCUACAAGUAUUUUCAAUUAAUGUUUAUGCAUUAUUGGAUCCCGGUGCCAAUUUGUUUUUUGUAACCCCUUUAGUGGCUAUAAAGUUUGAUAUGCUUCCCGAUGUCUUAGAUAAACCCUUUUCGGUUUCUACCCCGGUGAGUGAUUCCAUAGUUGCUAAAAGUGUCUAUAGGGGUUGUCCCAUAUCUUUGCCCAAUAGAGUCACUUUGGUUGAUUUGGUGGAACUUGAGAUGUUAGACUUUGAUGUUAUAUUAGGGAUGGAUUGGCUUCAUGCUUGUUUUGCAUCCAUAGAUUGUAGGACCCGAAUUGUGAAGUUUCAAUUUCCUAAUGAACCCCUAUUUUAGAAUGGAAGGGAGGAAAUUCCGUUCCUAGGGGAAUGAUCAUUUCAUGUCUAAAAGCUUGUAAGUUGAUUUCUAAGGGUUGUCUCUAUCAUAUUGUGAGGGUCAAGGAUCUUGAGUCUGAGAUUCCUCCUUUGGAGUCGGUCCCCGUAGUGAAGAAUUUUCCGCAAGUAUUUCCCAAUGACUUACCCGGGAUUCCUCCCGAACGGGAAAUAGAUUUCGGCAUGAUUUAUUGCCGGAUACACAACCCAUUUCAAUCCCUCCUUACCGGAUGGCCCCGGCGGAGUUGAAGGAAUUAAAAGCUCAACUCAAAGAUUUGUUGGAUAAGGGUUCAUCCAACCUAAUAUAUGUCCUUGGGGUGCACUGGUGUUAUUUGUGAAGAAGAAGGAUGGAUCUCUUCGUAUGUGUAUUGAUUACCGACAGUUAAAUAAGGUGACCAUUAAGAACAAGUAUCCACUCCCUAGGACUGAUGACUUAUUUGAUCAACUUCACGGAGCGAGUUACUUUUCAAAAAUUGAUUUGAGGUCGGGUUAUCACCAACUUAGGGUGAGAGGUGUUGAUGUUCCGAAAAUAACCUUCCGAACAAGAUAUGGUCAUUUUGAGUUCUUAGUGAUGUCCUUUGGUCUUACAAAUGCCCCGGCGGAUUUCAUGGACCUUAUGAAUCGUGUGUUUAGAAAUUUUCUAGACUCAUUUGUUAUUGUCUUUAUUGAUGACAUCUUGAUAUACUCUAAAGUGAGGAUGGUCACAUGAAUCAUUUGAGGAUAGUAUUGCAAGCCCUCAAAGAUCACCAACUCUACGCUAAGUUUAGCAAGUGCGAGUUUUGGCUAAGAUCGGUUUCUUAACUUGCUCACAUUAUUUCUAGUAAGGGUAUAGAAGUUGAUCCAAAGAAAACCGAUGCGGUCAAAAGUUGGCCUAGACCUUUGAGUCCUUCCGAUAUCCGAAGCUUUUUGGAUUUGGCUGGUUACUACCGGAGGUUUGUUGGAGGAUUUUCAUCUAUUGCAUCUCCAUUAACGGCCUUAACUCAAAAUAAGUCCAAGUUCAAAUGGUUGGAAUCUUGUGAAAAGAGUUUCCAAUUGUUGAAAGAUAAGCUCACCUCCACUCCGGUUUUGACCUUACCGGAGGGCACCGAAGGGUUUGUAGUAUAUUGUGACGCUUCCAGAGUGGGUUUGGGUUGUGUCUUGAUGCAGCAUGGUAAGGUUAUAGCUUAUGCCUCGAGACAACUCAAGGUGCAUGAGAAGAAUUACCCAACUCAUGACCUUGAGCUAGCGGUCGUAGUCUUUGCUUAACUAUUUGGAGACACUAUCUCUAUAGGGUACAUGUGGAUGUGUUUACCGACCACAAGAGUCUUCAAUAUGUUUUUAGCCAAAAAGAAUUGAAUCUCCGACAAAAGAGGUGGUUGGAACUCUUAAAAGAUUAUGAUAUGAGUGUCCUUUACCACCUCGGAAAAGCAAAUGUGGUUGCGUAUGCUUUGAGUCAUAUAUCUAUGGGUAGUGUGUCACAUGUGGAAGAAGAGAAAAGGGAGUUAGCCUGUGAUGUACAUAGGCUAGCCCGGUUGGGUGUCCGACUUGAAGAUUCCCCAAAAGGAGGCGUCAUGGUCCAUCAUAAUUCGAAGUCAUCGGUUGUUGUUGACGUGAGGUCUAACCAACAUCUUGACCCUAUUUUGAUGGAACUAAAAGAGUCGGUUCUCAACAAAGCAAUAGAAACUUUCUCUCAAAGAGAAGAUAGGGUGCUUAGGCACCAAGGAAUAUUAUGUGUGCCGGAUGUGGAUGGCCUAAGAGAGACAAUCUUAGAGGAGGCCCAUGGGUCCCGAUACUCCAUCCAUCCGGGAGCCACCAAAAUGUAUCGCGACUUACGUGAGAUUUAUUGGUGGAACGCAAUGAAAAGAGACAGCAAAUUUUGUGGCUAUGAGCUCAAAUUGCCAACAAGUCAAAGCCGAGCACCAAGGACCGGNNNNNNNNNNNNNNNNNNNNNNNNNNNNNNNNNNNNNNNNNNNNNNNNNNNNNNNNNNNNNNNNNNNNNNNNNNNNNNNNNNNNNNNNNNNNNNNNNNNNNNNNNNNNNNNNNNNNNNNNNNNNNNNNNNNNNNNNNNNNNNNNNNNNNNNNNNNNNNNNNNNNNNNNNNNNNNNNNNNCCCAUUUUCUUCCCGUCAAGGUUUCUUAUUCGGCGGAAGAUUAUGCUAAGUUGUUCAUUAAGGAGAUUGUGAAAUUGCAUGGGGCCCCGUUGUCGAUUAUUUCGGAUAGAGGUGCCCAAUUUUCUUCCCAUUUUUUGUGGUCUUUCUAGAGUGGGCUUGGUACUCAAGUGAAACUUAGUACCGCAUUUCACCCUCAAAUGGAUGGUCAAGCGGAACGCACCAUCCAAACUCUAGAGGACAUAUGAGAGCGUGUGUCAUUGACUUCAAAGGUAAUUGGGAUGACCACCUACCUUUAAUAAUAUUUUCCUACAACAAUAGCUACCACUCGAGUAUUGCUAUGGCACCCUUUGAAGCACUUUAUGGUAGAAGGUGUCGAUUUCCGGUUGGGUGGUUUGAAGUAGCUGAAUUUGCUUUUCUUGGUCCCGAGGUAGUCUAUGAGGCUACGGAAAAUUUUUGACUUAUCAGGGAUAGGUUGAAAACGGCUCAUAGUCGGCAAAAGUCUUAUGCCGAUAAUAGAAAGAGAGAUCUUGAAUUUGAAGUAGGUGAUUGGGUCUACUUAAAGAUCUUACCCAUGAAAGGGGUGAUGAGGUUUGGUAAGAAGGGGAAACUUAGCCCCCGGUAUGUUGGGCCUUAUGAGAUCUUGAAGCGUGUCGGAAAGGUGGCUUAUGAGUUGAAAUUACCCAUCGAAUUGGCCCGGUUCACCCGGUGUUCCAUAUUUCUAUGUUAAAGAAGUGUAUAGAAGGUUUAGGGGUGAAUGAGAACCUUUCUUAUGAGGAGGUUCCGAUCGAAAUCCUAGAUCGUCAAGUUAAGAAGUUUAGGAAGAAAGAGGUUGCCUCCGUAAAAGUCCUAUGGAGAAACCACCUAGUUGAGGGUGCAACAUGGGAGGCCAAGGCCGACAUGAAGUCCCGCUACCCUCAUCUUUUUCCUCCUACUCCUAGCCAUAGUUGAGGUUAGUAGUCUCUCUUAAUUUGGUAUAAAUUGAAAAUCAUGUGUGUUCAUGAUUAUGAUAUGAUUUCCUUGUAUGUGCAUAUUUUUGUGAAAAUUCAUGCUUAAGUUGUAUUUUGAGUUUUCAUGAAUUUUGUUUCUCAUGAUUGAUAUUGCACCCAUAGAUGUUGUGUGAUGUUGUCUUGAAGAGAGUUGUAAUAAGCAUACUUGAUGUGGUCUUGUUAAAGAAAUGUCUUGUUGAUUGCUUAACAUAUAUGUUUAUGCUCAUUGAAUAUGGAAAAGGUAGUUCCUCCUAUACUUAUGUGAAGUAAAGAGUUUUGAGCAUAGUGAUGUUGUGGAUUAAAUUCCUAUAUGAUAUGAUGAUAUGAUGUUGUUGAUGUGACUGGUUGUGGUGCUGCUAGUUUGAGUCUUUGUCUCCCUAGAAAGAAGUCCAAGUGACAUUCGGGGAUGAAUGUUCCUAAGGUGGGGUUAUUGUAAAAUCCCGGAAAUUCUAUGACUUAAGUUAGAGCUUCACCUUAUGAAUAAUGACUUAAAAAUAGUUAAAAUGAUGUUUCUAAACCUUAAGUAAUGCAAUUGACUUGGUUUGGAAGAGUAGAAGUCUAAACGUCAAGAAACAACCACGACGUCCGGAAACUAGAGAAGAAUGUGUUCUAGUGUGUCCUUAGGUUUUGGGCAGGUUUGGGAGUGUCGUAUGAUGUUAUAAUCUGGUGAAAAGGUCUAAAAUAGGUAAAUAUAUGUUCCUAGGGUCAAAACGUUCGAAUACGACUCCCGGGACCACACUAAGGGGCCCCGAGGAGGACCCCAACCUUGGCCAAGCAAGCUGCCAAGGCAGAUUGCAAGUUGUGCAUAGAGGGAAUGAGGGCGCGUCACGCACUUGCUCCUUCAAGGAUAAAAUUUUCAGUUCGCGACGCGGUCGUGUCGCGGACUCUACUAUGUCGAAAUGUAAUUCCAAAUAUCUUCAGGGAACAGCUCCGCGUCGCGGACUUGUUCCGCAACGAAAAUGCAGAAAUUCAGAAUUCUUUCUUUACUUCAUUAAAAGUCCAUCUAAGUGAGGGUUAUUUAGGGUACUUUUGGGAACGUGUAUAUAAUGAAGUCAAUUUACCUUACUUUUAUCACUCAAACACAAAACCCCAAAGAUCUAAACCUAAAGUUCCUCCUUCUCUUUAUUCUCUCUCUUCUCAAGAACUCCAUUGAUAUAGAUUGGAACUUCAAGAAAAAGACCAACUCCCAACCUCAGAUUUUCAUGGUUAAUUCAUCAAUAAGGUGUGGUUUCUUAUCACUCUUGGGAUUCCUUUCCCCAAGAGGCCCCUUCAAGAUGAAUUUCAAAAUCUCCAAUUUCUAGGUUUCAAUCCAAAAAUGUGGGUCUUCUUUCUAAAGUGAAAUUGAUGUUAUAAACUGACUUUGAUUGAUGUUAUAUGAGCAAUUAUGGAUAAAUUUAUGUUGUCUUGGUGGUUUAUUGAAGAAUUCCCCAUGAGACCCAUGUUUUUCCUUAUUUUCCUAAUUCUAACCCUAGUUUAUGUUAGAUAAUGAUUGAAGGCUAUGAAUUGAAUGUGUUGUUAUGUAAUUCAUGUUUGUAUAAUGAUUCUACCCUAGGCUAUGUAUAAUUUCUAUGAAAUUAGGGUUGAGUCUUUGAAUGAAGCCUUGAAGGCUAUGAAGGGAAUAUGUCAAUUGCUUAUAAUUGAUGUUGAUUAUGUUAUUACUUCAUGAAUUACCUUGUAUUAUGUAUUGGUUAUGAAUUGCUUGGUAAUUGAAGUAUGGAUGUCCCACGAAGGGCAAGAAGGUAUGAAGGUUGGUUCUUCUUUGAACUGAAGUAUGAAAGGUGAAUUACUUAGAUUGUAAUGAUGUUUUACCAAAUGUGUUGUUGUGGUGUUGAUGACCUAGUUUCCUCAUCCUUAACCCUCUACACUUGAAUUAGCUAUGAAGUAUGUAUGUAUAUUAUGGUAUGAUUGCUAUAUGAUUGAAAGGUAGUUCUCAUGAUUGUAGUGUAAUGUAAAGUGAAAGGUUUACUCACUUGCUAAAUGUUUCUAAAGUGAAAGGAUUGUACUCACUUAUGAACACAUAUGAGCUAUUAUGAUAAGAUGUCUACAUAAGAGUCUAGUAAAGGCUAAUGUGAACUUAUGUGAUGACUAAAGAUGAUUACAAAAGGGAAUCAGAUGCUUAGAACUGUAAGGGCAUGUAAAUGAGAUGGGGGUCUCACGUUUAGUACGUUCGGCUCCCCACAUGGGUUUCCUCACGUUUGUCACUUAUGAAUACAUAUGAGCUAUUAUGGUAAGAUGUCUACAUAAAAGUCUAGUAAAGGCUAAUUUGAACUUAUGUGAUGACUAAAGAUGAUUACAAAAGGGAAUCAGAUGCUUAGAACUGUAAGGGCAUGUAAAUGAGAUGGGGGUCUCACGUUUAGUACGUUCGGCUCCCCACAUUGGGUUUCCUCACGUUUGGCAAGUGCGGAUUACCUACGGUAUGUGUUGUCUCAUGAGAUGGAAAUCCCCACGUUUAGUAAGUUAGGGUUUUUAGAAGCAAUCUCCUUGACCCUUAACUAUGUGCCCACAUAGGACUCUAGCUUAGUGGAUCCACGUAGAUAGCUAUGUACGAAUGGUUACACCUUAGGCAAGUGUUAACCCUCUCUUUUCGGUGUGGAUGUAGAACACCGGAUUCCAUGUAGCUCUCAUGGUCUAUGUCGGUUAAUGCAAUAUUUCCCUAAUGUAAAGGUAAAUGAAGGUAUGAAAUGUGUGAACUCUUACUAAGGCUUUCUUAAGGAUUUCUACAUGGUGUAAGGGAGUGUAUGGGACUUCUGUUGCACAUUGCACUUAUGGGAUCCUAAGAGAUGGUUGUGGUAGUGUUCUCUUAUGGUUUUGAUGAUUAUAACUUAUGUAUGUUGAAGCUAUGUUAUGUAUGAUCAUUAUGAAUAUGGUAAGUUAUGAUGAAAUAUGAUCUUAUGAAUGUAUGCAUGAAGUACGUUGCUUAAUGUGAUACUUGGCUUUGAAUAGGGUUAUAAGGUUCUAUUCUUUGCAUUGCACUAGUACUACUUGGGUUGUCUACGUGUUGGGAUGAUAUUAUGUUGGUUUGGACUAUGAUACUUAAUUAUGUGCAUAUUAGAUUUACUUGGCAAAAAACAUGUCAAACAUUUAGGUUCGGGCCGUUGAGGAUUCAAGCUUACUUCUCAAGACACUUGGAGUUGCUUCCCCAAGUUGGUGAGUCCUCAAGUCCAAGGAUAAGACCCUAUGAUCUAACUUCUAUGUUUAGUUCAUUGCUUAUGUUGAAAGACAUUGUUGUACUUCCUAUUUUCAAAACUUCUUAUUGAUGUAAGGGCUAAGUCCCAUUUUCGAUACUUCUAUGUCUAGAUGGUGCAUUGUGACGAAGUUAGAUUCUAUUUUUCAUAUAUGAAGUGAAGUUGAACUUCCAAAGUAAAA